rnacentral:lncRNA from 1 species
CAGAGGAGGAUAACAACCGCUGCCAUCAAACUUGUCAAUUCUGCUUACCCCUGGGAGUUACAGGACACUGUCUUUUCUCCUAAAAUCCAUCUAUAAUUUGUUAUGGCAGAGCAAUUAUUAUUGCCACUAUGAAUAUGAGAGGAUGAAGCAUAAACAGGAUGUGACGAAGCCAGACUCCGCACCCUGACCAUCUCCGCUCAUCGCUGGAUUGGAAUCUGACUCUGGAUGCAGAGCCAUUUGUGAAAAAACAACAGUCACAAGCUCCACUUGCCUCUGUAUUUAUAUUUCUGCAUGAGAUAUAAUUCUAAAAGUGUAUUUCUAAAAGUGUGAUUUAAAUUAUUCAUUUAAUUACUUGCAGAUUCAUAAUUGAGGGUAAAUAAAUGUCUC